CCGUCUCUCAAGGGGUGCUCCGCGCAAAUUGCUUUAGUCCGCAACGGACGGGCAGCAAGCCGGGGCUGAGAUUACACCCGCUGAACCUGGGCAGGUAAUGCUGCCAAGGGACCGAGCGUAGAAAUGCGG
rnacentral:ncRNA from 1 species